CAAAAGUGCUGCUAUUUGAACUUUAAGAAACCAACGGUAUUUCUUUCUCCUUAUGCUGGAGUUGUAGAUCUAAAUCUUUGUCAGUGAUUACUCCAUGUUAAGGUGAGAUAAUGUGAGUCUACGCCAAGAAGGACGAUGCCAGGAAUACGCCAAAUGAAAUGGCGUAUCAAGUUAUAAUGCAUGCAGAGUGAGUUUCGAUGGCGUGUCCAAAGUCUGAAAUGUUUCUUCAAACUCCAUAUUUUGGGAUAACUGUAAUAGAUGAGGAUUUCAAUUUAGAUUUCUUGUAAUUAAAUUACCAUGUACUGGAGUUGUAUUUACCUAUUGUAUAUACAUAUGUAAAUUAGUUUGAGUCA